ACGUAGGCAACCCCUGCAAUCACGCACGGCAACAGAAAAUAAAAGAAACUGCCCUUCAUCACCGAAACAACCUAGAGGAGGAGGAGGAUUCAUCGAUCUCGACCUCCGCGGCGAUGGAUUUCUCCGGCGGGGCCAGCGGGGACGGGGCGUAGUGAAGCUGUCGGAGAUGUAUUGGAGCGCACGGAGGCUGCUGCUCUCGGCCCACGUCGAGCGGCUCGCCUCGAUGCCGCUCGUCGGCGCGGCGGACCCGGCGGGAGCUGACGGGUGUGGAGGGAGGCGCGUGGCGUAGAUCCAGUGCGUGUGCGCGCUGAUGGACCGGCUCUAGCGCUCCAUCCCUAAGGGCCAGCGUGAUCUCUGGAUGAGGUUUGGUCCGGGCUUGGUUGAUGAUUCCCAGGGUUGCCGGUCUCGAUCUGUGCUGUCCAAUGAUUCUGUUAUUAGAGUUGAAGGCGCCUGUGAUUGCGGUGCAAGCCAGACCUAAGGGACGACCAACAGAACAUGCUUGAGAAGACGAUGGCACCCAUCAUGCAGUCGUUCCAUGGGAUCGUGACCUGCAUUGAGAUUUCUGUGCUCUGCGCUUCGCCAGACCGAGAUCAAAAAGACCCCCAUUGUAUCAAUUUACAUUGGUAACACUUUAUUAUGUCAAAUCGUUGAGUGUUCACAAUGACACUGGAAUGCUUAAAAUAUUCGCGUAGUUGCUCAGCCCCAUGUAAUAUUCCAAGAGCGCAUAUUUUUUGUAUUUUUGAUUGUUCGUUAGAGUUCUAGAUACUAUGCUCGAGUAGAGUAGGUUUACUAUAACAGAUUGUUUAGGAACCACAGGUGCAGAAGGUCUUCUACCAUCUGCGGUGUGAGGGCUUUGAAGCAGAUAUUCAUUCUAUGCGACCACGACAGGGAUGGUAUGUAUUCUUUUUGUACUUGAGACUCUUAGAUUUCCAGUGGAGUUUUGGUUUCUCCCGCUGAGAUCGUACACUUGAUGUUUAUACUAUGCAUUCAAUCUAUUCCCACACCUAAGGUCUGUUAGUGUGGAAUCUUAUUUUCCUGUAGUGUGAUUACUAUAUGCACUUAUUUGCGUGUUUUCUCACUUUUAUUUGUAUAAUCGGCAUUCUGCAUAAGUAGGGCAACAAGAUUCAGGUAUAUGAUUUGAGGUUCGUAGUGGAGAAGAGCUGUGAGAACCUGCAGUUGCUUUGUUUUAUUGGUAUGGACUAUGAACCGACCGCAUCUUUUCACUUCCCUUCCUAGCUCUUAGGUUACAUGUUAACUAUGAACUGAGAUAAGCAAAAUAUAUAGUCCUGACAUGAGGAGCCUCAUGUUUUAGACGGUCAUUUAAGCACAUUAUUAUCAACUAUUGAUUUUGUAAUAUUUAUUAGUAGUGCAUCACUAGAAUUAAUUUUUUUUGCUUAUUUUUACCUAUUAAGUAGGAUGAACAUGUAUUUUUCUUCUUAUAAAAACUAUAUGCAUUGCACGUGUACGCUAACUAUGGAUCAAAGUGUGAGAUGUGAAUGGACCAGAAAUAACUCUGUCUAUUCAGAAUUUGUGUAUUAGUUCACUGCGUCAUCAAUAGUUAUUAGUACAACAAACACCUGUAGGAAAAACUUGUAUUUAACCAAAUGUUAAUGGCCAUUUCGAAUCACUGGUUGUUUAAGAUUUACACUGCAUUUAUAUGAGUAAAAAAAAUGAUGUUGUUUUUUGUUUCAAUUUUGGGGUGAUGCAUCACACAUUUACGGCAGUUUUGGCAGAAGAGGGGAAGUGCAUACAUUUUUUGUUGUACAAUUGAUUUACUUGAUAAAAAAGGUAAGCAUUUAGCAUGUCUUGCCGUUGUUUUAAAAGCAAUAUCCUGAUAGAAAAUACAAAUCAAUUGUGUUUUUUCCCUGUAGCGACACAUGGACAAUUGUCUUUUCUUUUUUUGCUCACAGGGAGAGAAAUACUGCGUGGGUCAAGUCGGGGAUUCAUGGCAAGGGAUUGACAAUUUUUUAUCAGAAGCAGUUCGUUACACACUGAAGUGUGACAGAAAAGGUGUGCCACUGUUUCCACAUCUCCUUUUGCGACACUAAUGUUUUUCCCAAGUCUUUUCUUCCUUUUUGUAUUGACCCAGGAAUAGUUUCGGCAUUGGAGUCAGUUUCUUCGCUGUUUUCAUUUUUCUUAUCGGGAAGUGUGAAGCUAAAUUGUGGAAUUUUUCCCAAGUCCCAGGUUUGCAUAGGCCCUUAUUACUGGUGUGCGGGUAUGGGCACAUGAGGGGUGUGCUACUGAUAUUUUUAUGUGAGAUGUUUGUUUCUCAUUUUAGCGGUCAUUCAAGUGUGAGUUAUGUGUAUCCGCAACGUGUAAUUGAGUGCGGGAACUUUUAUUAUACCUUAUCAAGGCCAUUUACAGGUUUACAUAAGCAUUUGGUUAGCAGCCUCA